rnacentral:rRNA from 1 species
AGCGAACGCUGGCGGCAUGCUUAACACAUGCAAGUCGCACGGUUGGGGUAACUCAACAGUGGCGGACGGGUGGGUAACGCGUGGGGAUCUGUCUCCGGGUGGGGGAUAACGAUGGGAAACUAUCGCUAAUACCGCAUGAUGCCCGAGGGCCAAAGGCGUGAGCCGCCUGGAGAGGAACCCGCGUACGAUUAGCUUGUUGGCGGGGUAAAGGCCCACCAAGGCGACGAUCGUUAGCUGGUCUGAGAGGAUGAUCAGCCACACUGGGACUGA